AAGACCAUGAUGAAGACCCUGAACAACACAACCCUGAACAAGAGCAGGAGAACAUGUGCGGGACGAUCUGACUGCUGCUGUGUCUGCUCACCAUGAGCACCACUACCUGGAAAACAUUUACACAGAUGAACUGGACUGGUCAGCAGAAGGUUGCUGGAUCAAUCUCCAGCGGUGUGUCUUUACUCCCGGUGACUCCAGAGGGAUUGAGAGCCUGUAAUAAGAGCACUAUGCUCUCGGUGGCUCUGGGGUCACUGAAGAUGAAGAGUCCACAGGAACACCUGGUCCUGAUGAGAAAACAAGGGGAGAUGCAGUGAUGGAGCAUUUCACCCACUGCACUCCAUCUUCUCCAUCCUCAGAGCACACAGCCGUCAGCAGACAUUUCAGAUCCUGCAAAGAUGCACAAACACAAAACAAAAGCAGUCAUUUUAACAGCACAGUGUCAUUUCAUUUCUGUAUUAGAAGUAACAGAAUGAUCUAACUUUAUAUUUUUCUUUCAGGUUUUUUCCACAGAUGCUGCUGUCACCUGCUCCACCACAAAAGAUCUGCAUCAAAUGUACAGCAAACCAGAAUCAGAA